rnacentral:rRNA from 1 species
UACGUAGGUGGCAAGCUUUGUCCGGAUUUACUGGGCGUAAAGGGCGUGCAGGCGGUUUGUUAAGUCUAGGGUGAAAGCUCCCGGCUCAACUGGGAGAGGUCCUUGGAUACUGGCAAACUUGAGGGAUGCAGAGGAAAGUGGAAUUCCCGGUGUAGUGGUGAUAUGCGUAGAUAUCGGGAGGAACACCAGUGGCGAAGGCGGCUUUCUGGGCAUUACCUGACGCUGAGACGCGAAAGCGUGGGGAGCGAACCGG